rnacentral:rRNA from 1 species
AGCGAACGCUGGCGGCAGGCUUAACACAUGCAAGUCGAGCGGGCGUAGCAAUACGUCAGCGGCAGACGGGUGAGUAACGCGUGGGAACGUACCUUUUGGUUCGGAACAACACAGGGAAACUUGUGCUAAUACCGGAUAAGCCCUUACGGGGAAAGAUUUAUCGCCGAAAGAUCGGCCCGCGUCUGAUUAGCUAGUUGGUGAGGUAACGGCUCACCAAGGCGACGAUCAGUAGCUGGUCUGAGAGGAUGAUCAGCCACAUUGGGACUGAGACACGGCCCAAACUCCUACGGGAGGCAGCAGUGGGGAAUAUUGGACAAUGGGGGCAACCCUGAUCCAGCCAUGCCGCGUGAGUGAUGAAGGCCCUAGGGUUGUAAAGCUCUUUUGUGCGGGAAGAUAAAGACGGUACCGCAAGAAUAAGCCCCGGCUAACUUCGUG